CCUACGGGAGGCAGCAGUGGGGAAUUUUCCGCAAUGGGCGAAAGCCUGACGGAGCAAUACCGCGUGAGGGAUGAAAGCCUGUGGGUUGUAAACCUCUUUUCUCAAGGAAGAAGUUCUGACGGUACUUGAGGAAUAAGCAUCGGCUAACUCUGUGCCAGCAACCGC
rnacentral:rRNA from 1 species